rnacentral:rRNA from 1 species
UGGAUUAGGCAUGCAAGUCGAGCGAGGAGUAUUAGUAGCAAUACUGGUACAUUCGAGCGGCGUAAGGGGCAGUAAUACCUGGGAACGUACCCUGAGGUCGGGGAUAGCUGCUAGAAAUGGCGAGUAAUACCCGAUGAUCUCGAGAGAGCAAAGGCUUGCCGCCUUCGGAGCGGCCCAGGCGAUAUUAGCUAGUUGGUGAGGUAAUGGCUUACCAAGGCUUAGAUGUCUAGCGGGUGUGAGAGCACGACCCACGCCACUGGCACUGAGACACUGGCCAGACACCUACGGGUGGCUGCAGUCGAGAAUCUUCGGCAAUGAGCGCAAGCUUGACCGAGCGACGCCGCGUGCGGGAUGAAGGCCUUCGGGUUGUAAACCGCUUUGGUCCGAGAGAAAGGGCAACUGGAUCGAUCGGAGAAACAAGGACGGGCUAAGUUCGUGCCAGCAGCCGCGGUA